rnacentral:rRNA from 1 species
UACGAAGGGGGCUAGCGUUGUUCGGAAUUACUGGGCGUAAAGCGCGCGCAGGCGGUCCUUCAAGUCAGUGGUGAAAGCCCGGAGCUCAACUCCGGAAAUGCCAUUGAAACUGUAAAACUUGAGGACGAGAGAGGUGAGUGGAAUUCCCAGUGUAGAGGUGAAAUUCGUAGAUAUUGGGAAGAACACCGGUGGCGAAGGCAGCUCACUGGCUCGUUUCUGACGCUCAGGCGCGAUAGCGUGGGGAUCAAACAGG